AGAUUGAACGCUAGCGGGAUGCUUUACACAUGCAAGUCGAACGGCAGCGCGGACUUCGGUCUGGCGGCGAGUGGCGAACGGGUGAGUAAUAUAUCGGAACGUGCCCAGUAGCGGGGGAUAACUACGCGAAAGCGUGGCUAAUACCGCAUACGCCCUACGGGGGAAAGGGGGGGAUCGCAAGACCUCUCACUAUUGGAGCGGCCGAUAUCAGAUUAGCUAGUUGGUGAGGUAAAGGCUCACCAAGGCGACGAUCUGUAGCUGGUUUGAGAGGACGACCAGCCACACUGGGACUGAGACACGGCCCAGACUCCUACGGGAGCAGCAGUGGGAAUUUGGACAAGUGGGGAAACCCUGGAUCCAGCCAUCCCGCGUGUGCGAUGAAGGCCGUUCGGGUUGUAAAGCUACGUUUGGACGAGGAAGAAACGGCGUUAGAACUAAUAUUCAGUCGUCAC
rnacentral:rRNA from 1 species